UUUUACUCUGGAGUUUGAGAGAGCUUUACGAGUGUUGGAUGGAGCGGUUGCUGUGUUUGAUGCUUCUGCUGGAGUAGAGGCUCAAACCAUGACUGUGUGGCGGCAGGCAGAAAAACAUAAAAUCCCAUGUGUGUGCAGCUAGGUUAUACACAAAUUUUUUUUGCUCAUUUCUCAGAAUCUCACUUAAAUUUAGAGAAUCCAUUAACACAAAUUUGCAUGUGUUAUUGAUCUGAAUGAAUGACUGCCGCUCACUAAGGUUUCAUCUCACUCUCAUUUCUCCUAGCCUGAGUUACUCUAUACACAGCAUAAAGACUAAACUAAAGGCCAACCCUGUUCUCCUUCAGAUGACCUUUUUAAACAUAGUAACCAACUACAGUUACCAAUGAAAAGAUUCAUUCUGAAUAUUUAGUAUGAUUUCCAGAACCCCUAUUGGCACAGGGAAGAGCUUUACCGGAUUGGCGGACUUGAUCACUAGGCAGAAAAUGAAGUAGCAGGGGAGCUCAAUUACAUAUGAUGGUUGUACUUUUGAGACCAGCACCCUUCAGCCCACAGAUGACCCAGAUGUGCUCCAGGCUGACAGUGAGGCCAGGCCACUUUGAUAGAACAGGUAGCAGAUCUAAAUGAUGAUUUUGCGAAGCUGCUUCUGGGACGGUACAGUGAAAACUUUGAUGCAGUGCCUGCAGGGGAGUUGAGGGAGGCAGUGAGAUGAGUGACAUUAGCUCGUAAGGGAGUUCCUGUGUUGUUUGGAAGCUCUCUGAAAAAUAAAAGGGGUUCAACUUCUGCUGGAUGCCAUUACUGCUUACCUUCCUGCCCCCAAUGAGAGAAACCAUGACCUGGUGCGCUGGUAUAAGGAUGAUCUGUGUGCGUUGGCAUUCAAAUUGGUCCAUGACAAACAGAGGGGUCCACUCAUGUUUGUUAGGAUCUAUUCAGGAAGCAUGAAGGCUCAGUCGGCAGUGUACAACAUAAACAGGAACGGAACGUAGGUUCUUACUGGGGAAAAUCUGGCAUGCGCAAAGCUGACUUCAUACGUCAUCCGCCCGGAACUGCUUCCAUUUA